CCUACGGGAGGCAGCAGUGAGGAAUAGUGGUCAAUGGGCGCGAGCCUGAACCAGCCAAGUAGCGUGAAGGAUGACUGCCCUACGGGUUGUAAACUUCGUUUAUAAAGGAAUAAAGUGAGGCACGUGGGCCUUUUUGUAUGUACUUUAUGAAUAAGGAUAGGCUAACUCCGUGCCAGCAGCCGCGGUAAUACGGAGGAGCCGAGCGUUAUCCGGAUUUAGUGGGUUUAAAGGGAGCGUAGAUGUGUUGUUAAGGCAGUUGUGAACGUUUUCGGCUCAACCGUAAAAUUGCAAUUGAUACGGGCAGUCUUGCGUACAGUUGAGCUAGGCGGCAUUCGUGUUGUAUCGG
rnacentral:rRNA from 1 species